GGGAGUGAGGAACUGGGGCUCUGGUCUGAAGAUGCUUCCUCUACUGCUGGAUUCCCCAGUGGCCAGUGCCAUCACCUCUGUGUUUCUGCACAGCUCUGGUGAUCUAAAGCCACAUUCAGAAUUCCACCCACCUCAGAUGCUGAGAAAUGACCCCCGAAACUUGUAUCAUUAAUAUUGGAGAUGUGAAUGACAACAUGCCAACACUUACUCAUUCUUCUGUAAGUAUAUGGAUAAUAGAAAUAUGUAUAAUCCUUUGUUAAUUAUU